AAAGGGUGCGUAACACGUGGGCAAUCUGCCGAGAAGUGGGGGAUUGCUCGUCGAAAGGCGAAUUAAUACCGCAUGUGGCCAAGGAAGACAUCUUUCUGACGCCAAAGCCGGGGCAACCUGGCGCUUCUUGAUGAGCCCGCGGCCUAUCAGCUAGUUGGUGAGGUAACGGCUCACCAAGGCUAUGACGGGUAGCUGGUCUGAGAGGACGACCAGCCACACUGGAACUGAGACACGGUCCAGACACCUACGGGUGGCAGCAGUCGAGAAUUUUUCUCAAUGGGCGAAAGCCUGAAGGAGCGACGCCGCGUGGAGGAUGAAGGUCUUCGGAUUGUAAACUCCUGUCAUUAGGGAACAAAACUUACGGUUAACUGCCGUGGAGUCUGAUAGUACCUGAAGAGGAAGAGACGGCUAACUCUGUGCCAGCAGCCGCGGUAAUACAGAGGUCUCAAGCGUUGUUCGGAUUCAUUGGGCGUAAAGGGUGCGUAGGCGGCGGGGUAAGUCGGAUGUGAAAUCCCGGGGCUCAACCCCGGAACUGCAUUCGAUACUGCCUUGCUAGAGUACUGGAGAGGAGACUGGAAUUUACGGUGUAGCAGUGAAAUGCGUAGAUAUCGUAAGGAAGACCAGUGGCGAAGGCGAGUCUCUGGACAGUUACUGACGCUGAGGCACGAAGGCCAGGGGAGCAAACGGGAUUAGAUACCCCGGUAGUCCUGGCAGUAAACGGUGCAUGUUUGGUGUGGGAGGAUUCGACCCCUUCCGUGCCGGAGCUAACGCGUUAAACGUGCCGCCUGGGGAGUACGGUCGCAAGAUUAAAACUCAAAGAAAUUGACGGGGGCCCGCACAAGCGGUGGAGUAUGUGGCUUAAUUCGAUCCACGCGAAGAACCUACCUAGCCUUGACAUGCAUCUCUAAGUCGGUGAAAGCCGGCGAGUGUAGCAAUACACAAUUUGCACAGGUGCUGCAUGGCUGUCGUCAGCUCGUGUCGUGAGAUGUUGGGUUAAGUCCCGCAACGAGCGCAACCCCUGUGAACUGUUGCCACCGGCCCUCGGGCCGAGCACUCUGUUCAGACUGCCCUGUGAAACGGGGAGGAAGGUGGGGAUGACGUCAAGUCAGCAUGGCCCUUACGGCUAGGGCUGCACACGUACUACAAUGCUCAGCACAGAAUGAACCGAUACCGCGAGGUGGAGGAAAUCUCUAAAACUGAGCCCAAUUCGGAUUGAAGGCUUCAACUCGCCUUCAUGAAGCCGGAAUCGCUAGUAAUGGCGUAUCAGCUACGACGCCGUGAAUACGUUCCCGGGCCUUGUACACACCGCCCGUCACAUCAUGGAAGUUACUUGUACCCGAAGUGCAUGCGCCAACCGCAAGGAGGCAGUGCCCUAAGGUAUGAGUGGUAACUGGGAUGAAGUCGUAACAAGGUA
rnacentral:rRNA from 1 species